AGCGGGUGCGGAGCGUUCCGUAAGCCUGCGAAGGUGCACUGUGAGGUGCGCUGGAGGUAUCGGAAGUGAGAAUGUUGACAUGAGUAGCGACAAAGCGGGUGAGAGACCCGCUCGCCGAAAAUCCAAGGGUUCCUGCGUAAAGCUAAUCUGCGCAGGGUUAGCCGGCCCCUAAGGCGAGGCCGAAAGGCGUAGUCGAUGGGAACGGGGUUAAUAUUCCCCGGCCUGCUGGAAGUGACGGAUAUCGAAAGUCGUGACGGCUUAACGGAUUGCCGGCGCGGCCUGGAUGUCCCAGGAAACAGCCCAGCGUGAGACCGUACCCUAAACCGACACAG
rnacentral:rRNA from 1 species